UAGGGAAUCUUCGGCAAUGGGGGGAACCCUGACCGAGCAACGCCGCGUGAGUGAAGAAGGUUUUCGGAUCGUAAAACUCUGUUGUUAGAGAAGAACAGCGCAUAGAGUAACUGUUAUGCGUGUGACGGUAUCUAACCAGAAAGCCACGGCUAACUACGUGCCAGCAGCCGCGGUAAUACGUAGGUGGCAAGCGUUGUCCGGAUUUAUUGGGCGUAAAGCGAGCGCAGGCGGUCAAUUAAGUCUGAUGUGAAAGCCCCCGGCUCAACCGGGGAGGGUCAUUGGAAACUGGUUGACUUGAGUGCAGAAGAGGAGAGUGGAAUUCCAUGUGUAGCGGUGAAAUGCGUAGAUAUAUGGAGGAACACCAGUGGCGAAGGCGACUCUCUGGUCUGUAACUGACGCUGAGGUUCGAAAGCGUGGGUAGCAAACAGG
rnacentral:rRNA from 1 species